UACUGGUUAGAUCAGUUGGUAGACCGUUCCACUGAAAAUGGAGAGGUCCGUGAUUCGAUACCAGGAGCAGGUA
rnacentral:tRNA from 1 species